rnacentral:rRNA from 1 species
AAGUUUGAUCAUGGCUCAGAGUCAACGCUGGUAGUAGGCCUAACACAUGCAAGUCGAACGGCAGCACAGGAGAGCUUGCUCUCUGGGUGGCGAGUGGCGGACGGGUGAGGAAUACAUCGGAAUCUACUCUGUCGUGGGGGAUAACGUAGGGAAACUUACGCUAAUACCGCAUACGACCUACGGGUGAAAGCAGGGGACCUUCGGGCCUUGCGCGAUUGAAUGAGCCGAUGUCGGAUUAGCUAGUUGGCGGGGUAAAGGCCCACCAAGGCGACGAUCCGUAGCUGGUCUGAGAGGAUGAUCAGCCACACUGGAACUGAGACACGGUCCAGACUCCUACGGGAGGCAGCAGUUGGGGAAUAUUGGACAAUUGGGCGCAAGCCUGAUCCAGCCAUACCGCGUGGGUGAAGAAGGCCUUCGGGUUGUAAAGCCCUUUUGUUGGGAAAGCAAAUCCAGCUGGCUAAUACCCGGUUGGGAUGACGGUACCCAAAGAAUAAGCACCGGCUAACUUCGUGCCAGCCAGCCGCGGUAAUACGAAGGGUGCAAGCGUUACUCGGGAAAUUACUGGGCGUAAAGGCGUGCG